UACGUAGGCAGCGAGCGUUGUCCGGAGUUACUGGGCGUAAAGCGCACGCAGGCGGUCUCUUAAGUUUGGAGUGACAGUUGGUGGCUUAACUGCCAAAGUGCUUCGAAAACUGAGAGACUUGAGGGCUUCAGAGGGACACGGAAUUCCGGGUGGAGUGGUGAAAUGCGUAGAGAUCCGGAGGAACACCAAAGGCGAAGGCAGUGUCCUGGGGAGUACCUGACGCUCAGGUGCGAAAGCCAGGGGAGCGAACGGG
rnacentral:rRNA from 1 species